rnacentral:rRNA from 1 species
UACAGAGGUCUCAAGCGUUGUUCGGAUUCAUUGGGCGUAAAGGGUGCGUAGGUGGCGGGGUUAGUCAGGUGUGAAAUCUCGGAGCUCAACUCCGAAACUGCACUUGAUACUGCCUUGCUAGAGUACUGGAGAGGAGAUUGGAAUUUACGGUGUAGCAGUGAAAUGCGUAGAUAUCGUAAGGAAGACCAGUGGCGAAGGCGGCUCACUGGUCCAUUACUGACGCUGAGGUGCGAAAGCGUGGGGAGCAAACAGG